rnacentral:rRNA from 1 species
UAGGGAAUCUUCGGCAAUGGGCGCAAGCCUGAUGGAGCAACGCCGCGUGUGUGAUGAAGGGUUCCGGCUCGUAAAACACUGUUGUAAGAGAAGAAUGACAUUGAGAGUAACUGUUCAAUGUGUGACGGUAUCUUACCAGAAAGGAACGGCUAAAUACGUGCCAG